GGGCGGGGCCGGGCCGGGGCGGGGCGCGGGGCGGGUGGCGCCCGGUGUGUGCAGGCGCGGCCCGGGCGCCCCGAGGGCAGCUGCGGCGGGGCCUGGGCCGCGGGGAGGCUCCCCGGGACCCGGACGCCCACACCCCCGGGGGCGGGGACCGCGGUGACCCCCCCCCCCCGCCCCGGACGCCCGGGCUUUGCGCCUGCAGGACGGUGACGUCGGGCACCCGCGCCCCCGGGAGACCCGCGUCCGGGAGGCCACAGCGGGGCCCUGUGCACGUGCUGCCCUCGGGGGUCCAGGGAGCCACCAGGGGCUGGCGCAGGCUGGCAGUACCCGGCAGCCGCAGAAACCACACACACAGGUGGACAAAGGAACGUGUCACUUCAAGGAACGGCUGAUGCUUUCCGGAAAAUAAAAAAUAUUGGGAGCAACGAGGUGUGGAAGCCAGAGCUCCUCGCGGCCACAGACCCCACAGACCUAAUGCAGGAGAGCCGCCCCCAGAAGAUGCCAAGCGCCCUCCUCCGUCUCAGCCGCUCGGCCUGACCCCCGCUCCCCCGUGGCCAGGGGCCAGGUUCCUGCCUGGUGGCCCCGGGGGAGGACGCCCAGCUGUCUUGGCCUGUCCUUGGCCUCUGACCGUGGAGGGGAUCCUCACUGCCUGGGGACUGAGGCAGGGAUGGGACCCAAGUUCUCAGCGAGGGUGUGCAAGAGCUGGACGUUGUGACCUUGGCCGAGACCUGACCCUGCCGCGGCCCCGCCGCCCCAGCCUGGGCUCUGCAAACCAAAGGGUGGCCCCGGACGACGCAGGUGGAAUCAGAGGAGCGCCGCGCAGAGAGCGUUUCCCUCCGCGACCCGGGAGAUGUCCGUGACCCGCCGUCGCCGGGUGUGAAGGUAGAGGAAGGGGCCUCGAGCCAGAGAAUGUGAGUAACCUCCAGAGGCUGGAAAAGCUUAAGUCAGAGAAAGACAAAUGCCAUAGGGCGUCACUCGUCUGUGGAAUUUAAGAAACAAAACAGACGGACAUAGGGGAAGGGAAAAAAGAGAGAGGGAUGCAAACCAUAAAAGACUUUUUUUAAGAAGGCUCCGUGCCCAACGUGGGGCUUGAACUCCAACCCGAGACCAGGAGUCGCGUGCUCUUCUGACUGAGCCCGCCGGCGCCCCAACGGACUCUUAACUCGGGGAGUAGUUGGUGGAGGGAGGUGGUGGGUGACGGGCAUGACGGAGGGCACUUGCUGGGGCGCCGGGGGCGGGUCAGCGGGUGAAGCAGCUGACUUGGGCUCAGGUCAUGAACCCAAGGACCUGGGAUCCAGUCCCGGGUUGGGCUCCGCAGGGAGGGGGCUUGGGAUCCUCUCUCUGCUUUUCCCCCCAACGCGUACACUUAUUUUCUCUCUCUCAAAUAAAGAAAUAAAAUCUUCCAAAAAAUUUUUUUAAAUAGAAGCUGGAAAAGCAAGGAAUAGACCCCCCUCCCCGACCCCCGAGACACCAAAAGGAAGGCAACUGCACCGAUACAUUUAGUUCAGAGACCCAUGUUGGACUUCUGAUCUCUAGGACUAGAGAAGAACAAUCUGUUGUUUUUUCGUAUUAAAGAUUUUAUUGAAAAAAAAAAAGAUGUUAUUUACUUAUUCACGAGAGAGGCAGAGACACAGGGAGAAGCAGGCUCCUCGCAGGGAGCCCGAUGUGGGACUCGAUCCCGGGACUCCGGGAUCACGCCCUGGGCUGAAGGUGGCGCUAAGCCGCUGAGCCCCCCCCCCCCCCCCCCCGGGCAUCCCCAAUCUGUGUUGUUUUAAGCCACUGAGUUUGG
rnacentral:lncRNA from 1 species